UGGCGGACGGGUGAGUAAUGUCUGGGAAACGUGCCUGAUGGAGGGGGAUAACUACUGGAAACGGUAGCUAAUACCGCAUAACGUCGCAAGACCAAAGAGGGGGACCUUAGGGCCUCUUGCCAUCGGAUGUGCCCAGAUGGGAUUAGCUAGUAGGUGGGGUAACGGUUCACCUAGGCGACGAUCCCUAGCUGGUCUGAGAGGAUGACCAGCCACACUGGAACUGAGACACGGUCCAG
rnacentral:rRNA from 1 species